rnacentral:rRNA from 1 species
GUGAUAGCUGGUUACUCAAGAAACGGACCUUAGUCCAUCCUAAAGUUAGUCUAAUACGACAAAAUUAUCCCUUAACUUUAGAGCAAUUCAAAUAAGGUACAGCCUAUUUGAAACAGGAUACAACCUCAACUAACGGGUUCGGCGCUUAGUGCCACCCGACUAAGUGGGCCCGAGAGCAGCCACCUUUCAAAAAGCGUCAAAGCUUAAUUAUCCACCACCACAAUCCCAAAAUUCUCCCCCAACCCUUUUACAGUAAUGAGUAAUUCUAUACCCCUAUAGAACUUUUUAUGUUAAAACUAGUAAUAAGAAGAUGACCCUUCUCUUAAAUGCAAACAUAAACCAGAAAGGACACACCGCUGGUAAUUAACACCCAUGAGCUGCUAAUAGCAACGUUAUGAAAAACCCCUAUUUAUCAAUAUGUUAACCUGACACAAGAGCAUUAAAAGAAAGAUUAAAAGGAAAAGAAGGAACUCGGCAAACAUCAACCUCGCCUGUUUACCAAAAACAUCGCCUCUCGAACAAAUAUGAGAGGUCCAGCCUGCCCAGUGACUCUGUUCAACGGCCGCGGUAUCCUAACCGUGCAAAGGUAGCGUAAUCACUUGUCCUUUAAAUGGGGACUAGUAUGAACGGCACCACGAAGGUUACACUGUCUCCUUUUCCCAAUCAGUGAAACUGAUCUCCCCGUGAAGAAGCGGGGAUACACAUAUAAGACGAGAAGACCCUAUGGAGCUUUAAACAAGGUAACAACCGCCACCUUAUUCAAAUUUCAGAAUACUUGCCCUUACCCUGGCGGCAUGAUUACUAGUUUUAGGUUGGGGUGACCGCGGAGAAUAAACCAACCUCCGUGUUGAAGGGGGGGCCUCCCCUAAGCAAAAAACCACAACUUUAUGCAUCAAUAAAUUGACAUUAAUUGACCCAAUAUUUUGACCAACGAACCAAGUUACCCUAGGGAUAACAGCGCAAUCCAUUUUGAGAGCCCCUAUCGACAAAUGGGUUUACGACCUCGAUGUUGGAUCAGGGUAUCCCAGUGGUGCAGCCGCUACUAAAGGUUCGUUUGUUCAACGACUAAAACCCUACGUGAUCUGAGUUCAGACC